rnacentral:misc_RNA from 1 species
CUUUGAAUCCCAAGAGAAGUAUCCAUUUUUUAUUGAGAUGGCGGGUUGUCCUGUCUCAAGAGGAGGGUUUGGUAGAAGGAUCCUCUCUUCAGCCAGAAGUAGUUCCUCCAAACGCUUUAGGGAUACAUUUGNNNNNNUGGGUAAUAAUAUUAGGAAGCAUAAAGAGGGGAAAGCGAAGCACGGCAAACAGGGAAAGUGAUGUAAAUGCCCUUGCAGGUGUCAGAUCUCCCCCAAGCAAAG